rnacentral:rRNA from 1 species
CAGCAGCCGCGGGAACACGAAGGGUGCAAGCGUUAAUCGGAAUUACUGGGCGUAAAGGGUGCGUAGGCGGUUGUUUAAGUCUGUUGUGAAAUCCCCGGGCUCAACCUGGGGAUGGCAAUGGAAACUGGACGGCUAGAGUGUGUCAGAGGAUGGUGGAAUUCCCGGUGUAGCGGUGAAAUGCGUAGAGAUCGGGAGGAACAUCAGUGGCGAAGGCGGCCAUCUGGGACAACACUGACGCUGAAGCACGAAAGCGUGGGGAGCAAACAGGAUUAGAGACCCCUGUAGUCCCUGUCUCUUAUAC